UGCUAUCGAUGGAUCACAUUAUCUCGUGGAUUGGAUUUCACCUGACUGUCUAUGGCUCCCUUGCAUGUGCUUGGGAUAGGCGUUUUGUAUAAAUGUUUCAUUGUAUUAUUACGUAUUCUCCUUUAUUUUUUUAUAUGUAUAGAAGUGGAAUAG
rnacentral:rRNA from 1 species